rnacentral:lncRNA from 8 species
CGUUUCUUCUGGAAAAUAAUGUAUAGAUAAUGCAUUUGGGUUAUGUUCUUCUUUGAGAAGGAUGCAGAAUUCCAUUCAAUUUUGUUAUCUCUCUCUCUCUCGCUCUCUCUCUCUUUGUGUGUGUGUUUGUUCUAUGUAACACACUACCUACCCAGUCACCCUCCAGAAUGAAGCCGAGGGCGGAAGAGGGGGAAGUUAGUUGUGACAGAGGAUGAGGGGGGAGAUGCUAGAAGGCAGAGAUCAAGGCUAGAAGACUUGUCACACCCACCAACCUUGGCCCUGGGACGAUGACGUCGGUAAUUUGUUGGAUUUCUUUGCCACACAUAUUCACCGUCCUCUAAGUGCAGAGGCUCGAGGCUCCUCAAACGGCUGCCUAUCAACCACAGGGGGCCAGAAUUCACCCCGGAAUGUGUUGGUCGCACAAUGGGAGAGCAAUGUUUUGUUUCCUUUCCUUCAAUAGGCUUUAUAAAGUUAUAGGACACUAGAAACACCGUGUUAUUCUUUUGAUGGAUGCUUUAAUUCAUACGUCAUUAAAAUGGAGGCCUACAUGGAAUCUUCGAUAUUGAAUUACAUUUGAUUUUGUUUUGGUUGUCUUCUAGUUUUAAUGUGGUGAUCGUGAUUGAUCCUGAGAGACGACGAGAGAGAGGAUACUAUUCAUCCGGCGGUUGGUUCAGUUGAGCUGAUCCCGUUGGGCGCUUGGCUAUUAGGAAGGAAAAUGGCGGGUCUGUCACAGACGAAUGCAAUGAGACGGCCUAAAGAAUGACAUUUCGGUGUGGACGUCUGCUUGCAAGGAGCUCAACCUCGUUACAUCACAUUGGAAAGAUAUAUCAUGGCGGUCAUGGCGGCCUGCAAUGCAAACUAGUUUUGGCGUCUCUCCAUAUGCGCAACAUGGCAAGGGGAUGGGCGGCCUAUGCGUAAUCCUGAAUGUGGGUAGCCUGUCUGUUUUAUUUACUCGGCAUGAUGGUAAAUAUAUUACUAGACUGAAUAAAGUUUAAAGACGUAAAACAUAAAUGUGCCUGUGCUUAUUUUAUACUAAAUACAAAUCAACAGCUAUUUAGUAAUAUAACGAAUGGAAAGGACAUACCUACGAGCAAAUGAAACAUUCCCUACGUCUGUGUGUGCGCGCACGCUUAAGUAGGCCUAUACAUAUGUGCGUAAAGAUCC